rnacentral:rRNA from 1 species
UACGGGGGGAGCAAGCGUUGUUCGGAUUUACUGGGCGUAAAGGGCGCGUAGGCGGCCAGCACAAGUCAGUUGUGAAAUCUCCGGGCUUAACUCGGAAAGGUCAACUGAUACUGUGCGGCUAGAGUGCAGAAGGGGCAACUGGAAUCCUCGGUGUAGCGGUGAAAUGCGUAGAUAUCUGCAGGAACACCCGUGGCGAAAGCGGCGCGCUGGACCACUACUGACGCUGAGGAACGAAAGCUAGGGGAGCAAACAGG